GACGAACGCUGGCGGCGUGCCUAAUACAUGCAAGUCGAGCGGACGGAUGGGAGCUUGCUCCCAGACCGUCAGCGGCGGACGGGUGAGUAACACGUGGGCAACCUGCCUGUAAGACUGGGAUAACUCCGGGAAACCGGGGCUAAUACCGGAUAACUCUUUCCCUCACAUGAGGGAAAGCUGAAAGGUGGCAUCUCGCUAUCACUUACAGAUGGGCCCGCGGCGCAUUAGCUAGUUGGUGAGGUAACGGCUCACCAAGGCGACGAUGCGUAGCCGACCUGAGAGGGUGAUCGGCCACACUGGGACUGAGACACGGCCCAGACUCCUACGGGAGGCAGCAGUAGGGAAUCUUCCGCAAUGGACGAAAGUCUGACGGAGCAACGCCGCGUGAGUGAUGAAGGUUUUCGGAUCGUAAAACUCUGUUGUCAGGGAAGAACAAGUACCGGAGUAACUGCCGGUACCUUGACGGUACCUGACCAGAAAGCCACGGCUAACUACGUG
rnacentral:rRNA from 1 species